GGUCACUGCUAUUGGGAUUCGACUAAACCAUGCGAGUCGAGAGGGUUCGGCCCUCGGCUGACGGCUCAGUAACACGUGGAUAAUCUGCCCUUAGGUGGAGGAUACCCUCGGGAAACUGAGAAUAAUACUCCAUAGGCCUAGGAUGCUGGAAUGCAUCUAGGCUCAAAGUUCCGGCGCCUAAGGAUGAGUCUGCGGACUAUCAGGUUGUAGUCAGGGUAAUGACCUGACUAGCCUACGACGGAUAUGGGUUGUGAGAGCAAUAACCCAGAGAUGAUAUCUGAGACACGAUAUCAGGCCCUACGGGGCGCAGCAGGCGCGAAAACUUCACACUGUGCGAAAGCGCGAUGAGGGAAUCCCAAGUGCUUGCUCGUAAGAGUAAGCUGUUUUUAUGUUUAAAACGCAUAGAGAGUAAGAGCUGGGUAAGACGGGUGCCAGCCGCCGCGGUAAUACCUGCAGCUCGAGUGGUGGCCGCUAUUAUUGGGCCUAAAACGUCCGUAGCCGGUUUAAUAAAUGCCUGGGUAAAUCGUGUAGCUCAACUAUACGAAUUCCGGGUAGACUGUUAAACUUGGGACUGGGAGAAGCUAGAGGUACUCCUGGGGUAGAGGUGAAA
rnacentral:rRNA from 1 species